rnacentral:sRNA from 1 species
AGCAGCCGCGGUAAUUCCAGCUCCAAUAGCGUAUAUUAAAGUUGUUGUGGUUAAAAGGCUCGUAGUUGAACCUUGGGCCUGGCUGGCCGGUCCGCCUCACCGCGUGUACUGGUCCGGCCGGGCCUUUCCCUCUGUGGAACCCCAUGCCCUUCACUGGAUGUGGCGGGGAAACAGGACUUUUACUGUGAAAAAUUAGAGUGCUCCAGGCAGGCCUAUGCUCGAAUACAUUAGCAUGGAAUAAUAGAAUAGGACGUGUGGUUCUAUUUUGUUGGUUUCUAGGACCGCCGUAAUGAUUAAUAGGGACAGUCGGGGGCAUCAGUAUUCAAUUGUCAGAGGUGAAAUUCUUGGAUUUAUUGAAGACUAACUACUGCGAAAGCAUUUGCCAAGGAUGUUUUCAUUAAUCAGGAACGAAAGUUAGGGGAUCGAAGACGAUCAGAUACCGUCGUAGUCUUAACCAUAAACUAUGCCGACUAGGGAUCGGACGAUGU